rnacentral:rRNA from 1 species
AUGUCUUCGCCGAGCAGAGUGGGAGGAGGAGUUCAGGUAGGUGAUUGCAGUGCUCAUAAUGAUACACCAAUUGGCUCUCGUUGUCCUGGUGUGUCUGUUUUCCAUGCUGGGGCGCCUGGGUUUGAGGAGUCUGUUGAUGGUACAGAGGAAGUUACACAGGAUUGGAUGGUCUCGAAACAGCUUCGUGAAUAUGAGUUGAAGCAAAGCAAGAAGAAGCUGAGACGCAAAGACUGUGGUUCGUUUAAGAGUCUACCCAAGCGUGCCCGUGAUGAUGUCGAUGAAGAUGUUGGUGCUGACUCCGGCGAGGAGGCGGAUGUUGUUCCAAAGAGGAAGAAGUCUAGUAAGAGCAAUGCAAUUGAAGAUGAUGUUGAGGGAGAUGAUUCUCAAUUUAACGAGACCGUACGUUUGUCGCUUCCCACUGUUUGCAAGGCUGCUGCUUUGUUGAAAGAGGAACACUGUAGUCGUGUUCGGGAUGUUGGAUUCGGUGUUGUCUUUGAACUGACAGUAAAGAAAAAUGUGUCGCGCAUUCUUAUGUGCUAUCUAAUGGGAGUGAUUGACCCUGCCACCAUGAUAAUGGACUUUGGGAAUGGCAGGGUUCUUCGAAUCAAUCAUGAUGCCGUUCAUCACAUUUUUGAUUUACCUAUGGGACGUCACAAUGCACCCAUGCCUACUGCCAGCGGCCAUGAUGACUCGUUGAAUGCCCUCAAGGAUGAGCUUGGCUUUGACCGUUCAAAAAAUUUGUUGUGCCCUGGGCCUACAGUUCAUUUGUGUAGAGUUGCUGCAAUGGUAGAGAACAUGGAUUAUGCGGCUAUGGCGCAGAUGGACUUUUGCCAGCUUGUUGUUGAUGAGUUGCAGGCAGCUGUGCUUCGCAAAUUUUCAGUUAUGCACACGUUGACGCCACGUGCGUCAUACCUGAUGACCAAGGACCUAAUGAAGUUAUACAAUGAGGAUGUGCUUGUGAAGGGAAAGAUUUACUUGGAAACUUACAAAUUUGGGAAGCUGCCGUGGAAGGCGUCAGGUGAUAUUGUGUACAACCGUCCUGUUGCAGUUGUAUGUGGAAGCUCUGAUGCGGGGCCUAGCACUCAUGCUAGGUUUUAUGAGCCUAUUUGUAGCCAGCUUCCUGCCUGUGAUGAUGAGGUGCCGCGUACUCGUGGUUUCAUGGCUCGACAGAUGUUUGAUAAUAGAAGCUCUUCUAAACAGACAUUUGUUGGCGGCAAAAAACACGAGGAGAUUGAUGAGCUUCUUCUGAAGUUGAGACAUUCACAGGAAGAAAAAUGCGGUCGGUAUGAGAAGGACGCUGAGCAUAUUUUGGAUGAAAUGAACCGUCAGGACGCUCGCGUCGGCGCAGAUAAUGCUGGAGUGGAAUCUUCUGGUGUCCAUGGAUCUAGGGACGAUGGAAUUGGUCAGACUGGGGUUGCUGCUUGUGAUGUGCACAAAGAGUCCUACGAUGGCUCUGGGAAGGAUGAGGUCUUGGCUGAUGCAUCGUCCCCUCCGGAUGUUGUAGCUGAUAAGCCUGGAGAAGAAAACGUAGAAGUUCAUGUUGAUCUGAACCAGGGGGGUUGUGCUGUUGAUGGUGGCGGCAGUGUUGAUGCUUCUGCAUCGGUUGCCGUCGACUGUGCAGACCCUUCUGUAGCUCAAGAAUCCCAUGAUGUUGUUUCCCCUAGUCGGCAUGAAGAUUCUGAUUUUGGCAUUGAAAAGCCACUGGAGAAUGUCGUUCCUGCUACUGUUGUAAAUCCAGAGAAUGCUGAUGUUGCUGCAGAAUGGCAGUCCAGUGAGGUUGUGGUGGAUUCGUCGCAACCUAGCCAAGAAAAUGUUUUGGUCAGCUCUGAAGAACAACAACAUGAAGACUCUGACACUGAAGGCAAGAGUUUUGUUUUGAAUAAUGACGAACUUCCUGUUGUGACACCGUCGAGCAUUGAUCCAGCUCUUCUGAAAAGAUACAAUGAGUUGUACGCUGCUGUUACGAGGGUUCGGAAGGACAAGAAGAAGAAGGACAUGAUUGCUUUUAAAACUGAGAUGGCUGAUAUUACCAUUGGCGAAGUUGGCAGGAGUGUUAAAAUGAUGUUCUCUUCAAAAGCCGAGGAGCGUGUUGAUAAAAAGGAUAUGGUCCUUUUUGCAACUUUUGAUCCGCCAGAGACGACGGAUGGCGUUGGUCAUUAUUGUGUAGUUAUGUUAAAUGUGAAAGAAAGGCGGUUUGAAUUUCUUGACUCGCUCAAUAAACCUGGCAGCCCUGAUGCGAUCAGGGUUUUUAGGAUGAUGGUUAAAAAUAUCAAGCGUGCAUGGAAAGAAGGUAGCUCAAGUUCUGAUGAGCCACUAAAUCCUCCUACACUUGAUGGAUUUGUGUUGAAACAUGUCAUUGUCCCAAUGCAACCAAAUGGGCAUGAUUGUGGAUUCUAUAUGUUUCAAGUCUUGCAGACCUGGGAUGGUGUUCGAGUUGCUCAGUUUGGGGUGGAGCACAUUGGCUACAUCAGAAAGGCCAUGCUCUAUAGUUGGCUCACAUCGAGAAAGUGUUGCCUUGAUUUAACAUCACUUUUAAUUUUUGCAGAUAAAGGUUUUGAUGGGGGGCUUCAUGAAGGUUGUACGUCACUGUUUGAGUCCCAGGGUUCUGAGGUGGUUAUGGAGGAUUGUGCCAUUGAAAUCUCUCCAGAUAAUUCUGGUUCUUUGGCUGGAGAUGGUUUGAACACAGUUGUGGCGUCUAGACCUGAUGGUGGAAGUGUUUCUCGACCUAGCUCUCCACACGAUGUAUUUGAUGUUGAUGAUGAUGAUUUUGUUCCGCCGUGUCCACGCGUCACUAGGACUAGGAGUGCAGCAAUUAACCGUUCUCCUGUGGAUGAGGUUGAAGUAUUUUCGAAUAAGAGGGCAGGUGAGAGGGCUUUUAAGUUGAGAUGCUCUAUAGAGAAAUUGAAGCCUCCGAGGUUCAAAUAUAUUGAUGAGGCGAGGAAAAUAAAGGAUCUUGUUCUCAGCAAUGAUUUUGUAACCAAAUACCACGAGAACGCGUUCUUUAUGGUGAAUAGUCCUUUUGGUGAUGUUGAUACUUACACUGUUGACUAUAUCUAUAAUACAUUUGGCAAAGGAGCUUUAAUGGAUUCGUAUCUCAUGGAUUUUGUCAUCAAGUACUGGAAGCAAGACCCUGAAUUGGGUUUAGUUUAUCAUUCUGGUGAACGUGUGCUACUUUCACCUUUAUUUAUCACGUAUGUUCUUCAAAUGGAAACCUUUGUGAAGAGAGAUGAUGAAUUAAACCCUGUGUUGCCAGUUGUGCAUAGCCCGUUUGUUUUAGAAGAUGCAGUUAAGCAGUUCAAGGUUUUUGUGAGCGACGGCGUAAACCUAUUGGACGCAAAACUGAUUAUGAUGCCGCGCUCCAAGGAUGGUCAUUAUUCCUUAUACAUGAUGAACCAGCAUCGCCAGACAUUUGAUAUCCAUGACACUAGGAAGUACACUGGCCAUCCUGAUGUCACGACAAAGUGGCGCAGGACUGACUACCCUUCAGAUUGCACUGAAGUGCCUGCUGUUGAAGAUUGGAAGGCGGAGUACAUGUUCCAGCUGUUGUUCAAUCCUUCAAACAUGUUGUAUUAUGAAGACAUGCCGCUUGAGCUACGAGAUCUGAUUGCGGACCUCAGGCUUACUUCCCUGUCGCAAUCGCGGACGCAGUCGCGGACGCAGUAA